GGCUCCAGACCCGGUCAGCACCGCGCAAAAUGCAAGAAACGGAGGAGAGGCUGUGUGGACUGAGGCGGAGAUGGAGCUGAUGGAGGACAGGAGUCGUCCUCCUCUGGGCCCAGGGGUGGAGGAGAGAGAUGUAGCGUCGUCAGGAUGGAGUAUCCACCUCCAGCCGGACUCUCCUGUGUUAUGAAGCUCCAGCAGCUGGGAGGAGGAGGCUGGAGCACCACCCAGACCUGACGGAGCCCCUGAGAGAAAUCCAGGCUUCAGG